ensembl:lncRNA
GGGGUACCAGUACAGAGUCAAUGUGGAGGCUAUAUACAGGUGGUACUGGUACAGAGUCAAUGUGGAGGCUAUAUACAGGUGGUACCAUUACAGAGACAAUGUGGAGGCUAUAUACAGGUGGUACCAGUACAGAGUCAAUGUGGAGGCUAUAUACAGGGGGUACCGGUACAGAGUCAAUGUGGAGGCUAUAUACAGGGGGUACCGGUACAGAGUCAAUGUGGAGGCUAUAUACAGGUGGUACCGGUACAGAGUCAAUGUGGAGGCUAUAUACAGGAGGUACCGGUACAGAGUCAAUGUGGAGGCUAUAUACAGGUGGUACCGGUACAGAGUCAAUGUGGAGGCUAGAUACAUGUGGUACCGGUACAGAGUCAAUGUGGAGGCUAUAUACAGGUGGUACCAGUACAGAGUCAAUGUGGAGGCUAUAUACAGGUGGUACCAGUACAUAGUCAAUGUGGAGGCUAGAUACAGG